AGCGAACGCUGGCGGCAGGCUUAAUACAUGCAAGUCGAGCGCCUGUAGCAAUACAGGAGCGGCAGACGGGAGAGUAACACGUGGGAACGUGCCCUUUGGUUCGGAACAACACAGGGAAACUUGUGCUAAUACCGGAUAAGCCCUUACGGGGAAAGAUUUAUCGCCAAAGGAUCGGCCCGCGUCUGAUUAGCUAGUUGGUGGGGUAAUGGCCCACCAAGGCGACGAUCAGUAGCUGGUCUGAGAGGAUGAUCAGCCUCAUUGGGACUGAGACACGGCCCAAACUCCUACGGGAGGCAGCAGUAGGGAAUAUUGGACAAUGGGCGCAAGCCUGAUCCAGCCAUGCCGCGUGAGUGAUGAAGGCCUUAGGGUUGUAAAGCUCUUUCGGCGGGGAAGAUAAUGACGGUACCCGCAUAAGAACGCCCCGGCUAACUUCGUGCCAGCAGCCGCGGU
rnacentral:rRNA from 1 species